UACGAAGGGGGCUAGCGUUGCUCGGAAUCACUGGCGUAAAGGGUGCGUAGGCGGGUCUUUAAGUCAGGGGUGAAAUCCUGGAGCUCAACUCCAGAACUGCCUUUGAUACUGAGGAUCUUGAGUUCGGGAGAGGUGAGUGGAACUGCGAGUGUAGAGGUGAAAUUCGUAGAUAUUCGCAAGAACACCAGUGGCGAAGGCGGCUCACUGGCCCGGUAUGACGCUGAGGUGACGAAGCGGUGGGAGCAAACAGG
rnacentral:rRNA from 1 species